CGUCAAGGCUUGUAUCGCCUGGAGCGUAUUGUGGGUUUCCUGUGUUGCAUACCUAAUUCAUGGUAUUGUUCUGAUCGAUUGAAUCCCCUUUUUGUUGUGCGUUGCAUUUGUGACACAUGAUGAACCUUGAAGUGGUCUCUAUGAUCCAUCCUUUUGAUGCACAUGCAUUGAUAGUGUGGCCCAUUGAGCUUUGCUUGGUCUCUUGGAUACAGAACAUGAUAUGGGCAUUGGGUCUCUCAUGAUCCUUGWUUUGCCCUUGUUUAGUGUUCUCUAAACGACAGUUCUCGCCCGCCUAGGCUCGUACCUGCGGGGUGAUCUACGUCGAAGAGGAGUGCUACCUGGUUGAUCCUGCCAGUAGUCAUAUGCU
rnacentral:misc_RNA from 1 species